rnacentral:rRNA from 1 species
ACUCCUACGGGAGGCAGCAUUGGGGAAUUUUGGACAAUGGGCGCAAGCCUGAUCCAGCAAUGCCUCGUGAGUGAAGAACGCCUUCGGGUUGUAAAGCUCUUUUGUCAGGGAAGAAACGGGAUUGGAUAAUACCUACUCCUAAUGACGGUACCUGAAGAAU